AGUGAACGCUGGCGGUAGGCCUAACACAUGCAAGUCGAACGGCAGCACAGUAAGAGCUUGCUCUUACGGGUGGCGAGUGGCGGACGGGUGAGGAAUACAUCGGAAUCUACUUUUUCGUGGGGGAUAACGUAGGGAAACUUACGCUAAUACCGCAUACGACCUACGGGUGAAAGCAGGGGAUCUUCGGACCUUGCGCGAUUGAAUGAGCCAAUGUCGGAUUAGCUAGUUGGCGGGGUAAAGGCCCACCAAGGCGACGAUCCGUAGCUGGUCUGAGAGGAUGAUCAGCCACACUGGAACUGAGACACGGUCUAGACUCCUACGGGAGGCAGCAGUGGGGAAUAUUGGACAAUGGGCGCAAGCCUGAUCCAGCCAUACCGCGUGGGUGAAGAAGGCCUUCGGGUUGUAAAGCCCUUUUGUUGGGAAAGAAAAGCAGCAGGUUAAUACCCCGCUGUUCUGACGGUACCCAAAGAAUAAGCACCGGCUAACUUCGU
rnacentral:rRNA from 1 species